UACAGAGGGCCCAAGCGUUGUUCGGAUUCACUGGGCGUAAAGGGUGCGUAGGCGGUCGGGUAAGUCUGAUGUGAAAUCUCACAGCUUAACUGUGAAACUGCAUUGGAUACUAUCCGGCUCGAGGAAUGGAGGGGAGACUGGAAUACUUGGUGUAGCAGUGAAAUGCGUAGAUAUCAAGUGGAACACCAGUGGCGAAGGCGAGUCUCUGGACAUUUCCUGACGCUGAGACACGAAAGCCAGGGGAGCAAACGGG
rnacentral:rRNA from 1 species